GUCAUAUGAGUCUCCUUGUGAACUGCCCAUUUCUAUCCUUUUGCCCACUUUUUCAUAGAGGGUCCUGUCUUUUUCUUGUUGAGUUCCAACAGCUCCUUUUAGUCCCUUACAGUUUGAUGCUUUACAAACAUCCUCUCUCAAACUAUCAUCUGUCUGUUAACUUUAUCAAUUCCUUAUUGGGCAGAAUUACUUAAUUUCUGUUGAAUCAAAUUCAUCCAUUUUUUUAAUUAUGAUUUGUGUAAUUGAGAUUUUGCUUAAGAAAUCCUUCCCCACUCCUAUGUUACAAAGAAAUUCUCCUGCAUAAUGUUCCACAAACUCUACUGUUUUACCUUUAACAUGUAGAGCCCAUAUCUGUAUAUGAUGUGAGCUAGGGAGCUCCUUAAAAAAACAUUGUAUAACAAAACUCUCCAAAAUGUAGUGGCUUAAAACAUACAACAAACAUUUAUUUUGCUCACAUACCUGCAUUGUAGGUAGGGAUGAACAAGGAUGGUUCAUCUUUGUGCCACACAGCGCCAGCUGAGAUGGCUUGACUGGGGCUGAAGGAUGCGCUUUCAAGAUGGCUCACUUAUGGCUGGCAGGUUCCUGCUGGCUGGCAGCUGGGAGUUUGGCUAAGGCUGAGGGCUGGCGGCCACAGUUCCUUUCCACUUGCACCUCACUCAUCACAGGCUGUUUGGGCCUCCUCCCGUUAUGAUGGCUGAGUUCCAAGGCAAAAACAAAAGGCAAAGUCUGUACCACUUCAUACACCCAAGCUUCAGAAUUCACUUAGCGUUACUUCGAUUGUAGUCAAAACCUGCCCAGAAUCAAGGGGAGGGAACAUAUGCCCCACCUCUCAGUAGGAAAACAGUCAAAGUCACAUUGUAGAAAGCCCUUGGGGGGAAAAGAGAGAAUGCCGCAAUCAUCUUUGGGAAUAGAAUCUGCCACAGGAUCCAAUCUUAACCAUAGGAUGGAAGUCCAGGAGGCGGGUUUUCCGGAGCCACAUACAAGAAACGAAGUCCCCCAGGACCCUGACACCAUGUUGUUCAGUAAUCAGAGGAACUGCGACGUCGAACAAGCUGUAGACCAUGAAGAUUGCCCAAAUUCUCCUCCUCAGGCUAGGAAUCAGGAAUAAUUUUCAGCCCAGACUACCUGGACAACAAGGAGCUCACCCACCUCCCCACCCUGAAGACCACCUCUCAAGCCUAUACUCGUUGAUGGAAAAGAGAGGCCAGGAGCCUGAGCCCAUGACCCUUUAGGCCACCACUCAAGCAUACCCUCCAGGGGCUACUGAUCCACAGGCUAUAGGGGCACUUGUCCCAUUCUUCUCAUCCAUCCCCCAGCAAGGAGCACCACUGAGUAAACAAUUAUCGACUGCCUGCUGUGUGCAUACCUUUGUACGAAGCAAUACAAACCAUAAUCUUUGCCCUAAACAAGUAUAUGCUGUAGCUGGGAAGACAAUAGUAACACCCAGGAACGUGUAUGAGCGGGAAGGAGCUCUGAGCAGGGAUUUGAAAGGUCCCAGCUUCGGCACUGAGCCAGUCUGAAAGGUAUGAGAAAAACCAUUCCAAGUGAGAGCCGUGCAGAGGCCCCGGCCAGAAAUCUGGAGCUCUACUCCCCUCUGCUGUUUCCUUGCAGACUCAGGAUCUGCCCCAGCAACUGAAGAGGGAGAAGGAGAGAGGGCAAAAAAAGAGGCAGGGAAGCCCAGCACAGAAGGGCAAAGAAAAAGGAAACAAGUGAGCUAUUAAUACAGGACAUGUCUAAUGAUAACAGCUAAUGUUUGCGUCUUCUUUCACACAGCACUUACACAGGGACUCCCUCACUGGAUCUCCCAACAGCCCUGAGAAGUGCAUUAUCCCAGCUUUACAGAUGCGCAGACUGAGGCCCCAAAAGUUUGUGAAUUUCCCAGUCUUACGUAGCUGGUUAGUGACAGAACUAGGACCCAAAACCUUGCCCUUCUGACUCCAACAUUAUGCUCUUCCCCUAAACCACGUGGCCUCCAAAAGCAGCAAUUUAUAGGACUACAGGACAGAUAAAGAGGAAACUGGCUUCCAGUUGUUCAUCCCACCUCUGCAAGCUCUCAUCUCUCCUGCCACCCUCACCUCCUCCCACCCCACCCACACACACGGGAAACC
rnacentral:lncRNA from 1 species